rnacentral:rRNA from 1 species
UACAGAGGUCUCAAGCGUUUGUUCGGAUUCAUUGGGCGUAAAGGGUGCGUAGGCGGCGCGGUAAGUCGGGUGUGAAAUCUUGGAGCUUAACUCCGAAACUGCAUUCGAUACUGCCGUGCUUGAGGACUGGAGAGGAGACUGGAAUUUACGGUGUAGCGGUGAAAUGCGUAGAUAUCGUAAGGAAGACCAGUGGCGAAGGCGGGUCUCUGGACAGUUCCUGACGCUGAAGCACGGAAGGCCAGGGGGAGCAAAACGGGG